ACAUUCACCUCCAACCCAGGAGGGUUAACUUUUCCCAUAUAAGGUGAUCUGGAAGAGCUUUUUUCCUGUCCUGUCUGCGCCCAGCCCACAUAGACAUAUUUCGUCUCUGUCUUUCUGCAUAUAUACAUAGUGGAGCCGGCCAUUGAGCAAGAGACUAAAUACCAAGUUGCAUUGCUCUGGAUGAGGUCUUUUCUCCUGUUAAAGAACACAUUAUUCAGACACUUGUUGAAGACGACUUUCCGCGAGAGGACACAGAAACGUCUUUGGCUACUAUUGUUAUCACUCGGUUUGCAACUCAAAGGAAUGAGGCUGCACCUGCCGUGGGCCAGUGCUCAGGUGGAGGUAAUGCAAUGGGGAGAAUCCGAGCUGGGGCCAGGGCCGAGGCUGGACCGCAGGCCAAGCAGAGGCCAGGAGAAGCACGAUGGGGAGAAAGCCUGGGGAUGGUGCCCAUGCUGUCCACCUGCUUGUAGCGUCUGCCUGGGCUCAUGUCAGGGAUGGUCUGCACGACGCCUGGAGACAGGGAAGUAACUCUGCGAAUCUGCUCUUUCAAGGAGCAUUUAUGGAGCAUCGACUGUAUGCCAGGUACACUGCUGCAGGACUAGGACGCUGAGGAGGCAGGAGGAACUUGAGCACGGCUCCGUGGUUUCUACGACUCCCUGGAGGAACGAUGGCUUCCUUCCUUAAAAGCGUGGCCAGCUCCUUCCACCUGAAGGUGAAGGCCGAACAACUGCCCAUUCCGGAGGAUGGAUGAUGACCCUUGACUGCCCAGACCCAGCUCGCCUGUUGGGCCCCUCCUCUGAAAUCCCUCGGGAAGCCCCUCUACCCCCAGAUCACGUCUGAUUCCUGGAUGUUUCUGGAAUGCAUCAAGCAGGCUGCAAAACUGCCACCCCCCGAAUUCCAUUCCCCCUGCCUCCACACCUUCUCCCCUGGUCCCUUCCUGCUCAUCCUUCCAAGCCGGGUUAGUGGGCCCCGGCCUCGUGGCCCUCCCUGACCACUCCUUCUGCUCUCCCCACCCAACCCCUACCGUCCCCCAAACCAGCAGCCUCCAUCAUGCUGGCAUCCGGGCUCCAAUGGUGCUCCCAGCUGGCAGGGAUGGACCGGAUCAUCACGAGUUGCUUCCGUGAUGUCUCUCCUCCUGAACUGUACCAGCGGGAAGAGGCUUGUCUUUUUCAUCUCGGUGCCCACCCAGCGCCUGGCACUCAGUGAGCUGUCUAAGCAGCGAGGGUGAGAAAUAUUUUCACCUAAGGAACUGCAGAACUUUCUCCAGUGUUGGGAGGACAGGAACCUCAACUAUGGGUGCAGCCUCCCCUCUGACUAAUUUUCAUUCAACUCCCAGUAUAAAUAGCUCCCUUUGCCCAUAUCAGAAAACAUCUGCUCCCACUAGCUGCCCAGGCCUGUACCAGCUCUAUAAAUAUCCUGGCUGCAUCUCAGCUGCUCUGGCGAGGGGACCAAGAGAACUUGGAACGAGUGAACACCAAGCAAGAUGAGGGCAGUGGGAGCGAAGAAGCAGAGAUCGCCCCAUCUCCCCCUCUUGCGCCUCCAGGCACAGGCUGACAGUGCCUCCCACUUGGGCUUGGAAACCCCCAGCAGUAUUCCUGGGAAUUCGGCAGAGACAGAUAAAUGUCAGCUACUCCUGGUCUCAUGGUUUUCAACACGCUGUCUGAUGCAAAGCCCCAGCUCCUCUCUCACCAGCUGAGGGGCAGCUUGAAAUGCAGUUCGAGCCAGCCCUCCCCAUUCCAGCAGGGCUCUGGAGAUGCAGGAUGGGAGAUGAUACGGCUUCGAAAGGGUUGCGUUUUAUGCACCUUUAUAAGGAGUCAUGUAAUUCUCUGCUCCUUGGAGCUACUUUUUCUGUUUGAUAAACCAGAGGGCUAAAUUCCUCAGAGUAUUGUGCUCUAGAACCUGCAGAUUUCCAAGGAGGAUAAAAGGGGGGUUAGUGUUUGGGAGAAGGAAUGUGGGAAACAGACGGGUUCCGUCUAAAAACACCAGCAGCAGACAUCACGUGCUGUGUUUGUAAAACCGGGGUGCGGUGCAGACAGUAUUUGUGGGUGCACAGGAGUGAAAGCCCCUUCUUCGCUCCCCAGCCUGUUCCAUACUCCCGGGGGGGGCCGGUUUCUCUUCAAACCCCCUAGUGAAAUGUCUGGCAGCCCAGUGACCCUCAGUGGCUGCUGGAUAACGAAAUGUUUCCUGGUCACUUUGAGUCAACAGGGUCUCAGUGCCCCAGAGAUUCACUGAAGUUAAAUUUCUUCCCACCCACCUCAGCUGCUCCCGACCAGAAGCUGUGAUAGGAUAUGGGGGAGGGGCCCUUCUCGAAGCAUCCUCCCUGUAGGAGUCUGAGUUCUCCAGAGAAACAGGACCAUUACAGGGGCGCCUGGGUGGCUCAGUUGGUUAAGCGACUGCCUUCAGCUCAGGUCAUGAUCCUGGAGUCCUGGGAUCAAGUCCCGCAUCGAGCUCCCCGCUCAGCGGGGAGUCUGCUUCUCCCUCUCCCACUCCCCCCUCUUGUGCUUUCUCUCUCAAAUAAAUAAAUAAAAUCUUAAAAAAAAAAAAAAGAAACAA